rnacentral:rRNA from 1 species
UACGUAGGGGGCCAGCGUUGCUCGGAAUUACUGGGCGUAAAGGGUUCGUAGGCGGUGCGGUGUGUCGGAAGUGAAAUCUCUGGGCUUAACCCAGAGACUGCUCCCGAAACUGCCGUGCUCGAGUGCGGGAGAGGCGAGUGGAAUUACAGGUGUAGCGGUGAAAUGCGUAGAUAUCUGUAGGAACACCCGUGGCGAAGGCGGCUCGCUGGACCGCAACUGACGCUGAGGAACGAAAGCUAGGGGAGCAAACAGG